ACGGGAGGCAGCAGUGAGGAAUAUUGGUCAAUGGGCGGAAGCCUGAACCAGCCAAGUCGCGUGAAGGGUGAAGGUAUUAUGUAUUGUAAACUUCUUUAGAUGCAGAGAAAUAAGCCCCUCGCGAGGGGUGAUGCUAGUAUGCAUAGAAUAAGGAUCGGCUAACUCCGUGCCAGCAGCCGCGGUAAUACGGAGGAUCCGAGCGUUAUCCGGAUUUAUUGGGUUUAAAGGGUGCGUAGGCGGGAAGUCAAGUCAGCCGUAAAAUCGCCGGGCUCAACCCGGUCCCGCGGUUGAAACUGUCUUCCUUGAGUACACUAGAGGGCGAUGGAAUUCGUGGCGUAGCGGUGAAAUGCAUAGAUAUCACGAAGAACUCCGAUUGCGUAGGCAGUCGCCUGGGGUGCCACUGACGCUGAGGCACGAAGGUGCGGGUAUCAAACAGGAUUAGAUACCCUGGUA
rnacentral:rRNA from 1 species